CCGAGGCCAGCUUCCGCCGCCCCUCCUCCUCCUUUUCCAUCACCACCACCACCUCAUCCUGGUCCAGGUUCUCCGCCUCCUCCGCCUCCUCCUCGAGCUCGCCGAGCCUGGGAUGGAUUGGAUUUUGUCCAGCAAAAGAUCACAUUUGAAUCAGCAGCUAUAAUUGAAGUUACCACCUAAUUAAACUUAUGGUAACCCAAUAAAAUUAUCCAAGACACAUGGAAAUACAGAGGACAGAGGAACGCACUGACCUGCACCACAAGCCCUCAAGUAAAAAAAAUCCAGACUGUGGGAGACUGUGCAGGUCAAAGGCCUAUAAGCCAGAGAAGGAUAGAAGAGGAGGAACCUACAGAUUAAAAGAUACUUAUGUGAAAAAAAAAAGAUACGUGAUGUAUUUUUAAAUGGGCGACAGUAAAAUAUAGCUUCUAGGAAUGCACAUUUGGGUGAUAAAACUAUAAAAAAGGAAAAUGUGAGGAAGUGGUCACUGUGAAAGGCAGGUCUAACUGGUGGUCACUUUCGGGAGGAGGGAAUGUGUGAUUGGGAUGGGGUACAUGGAAGAGGCUUCUGGAAUGGCUGGCAAAUUUCUAUUUUUUUCAUCUGAACGGUGCUUACCUUAAAGUAAUUCAUUAAGUCAUGUGUUUUAUUGGUGUGGUGUUCUGCAGUGAUGUUUUAUUUUAUAAAAAUAAAUGCAUGCUUUAAAAAUGUCACACCUUAGACCAAUUAAAUCAAGUUCUCUGGAGGUGAGAUCCAGGCAUCAGUAUUCUUUAAAGCUCCCUGGUGAUUCCAAAGUAUAGCUGAGUUUGAGAACCAAUGUGAAGGAAGAAUGGCAUUUCAGCGUGCUCAGUAUCAGGAACCUGGGUUUUAGUCUUCACAUAGCCACCAAUACAGCUGUGUGACCUGGAGCUUGGGUUUUAACCUCUCUGGAUCACAGUGGCCCAUAUGUUAUGUGGUGAAAACAGCUUACUUACUCAAAGUUGGGAUUGGACAGGUUGAUUUUUAAAGUCCCUCUGAGUUCUAAAGCCUGAAACCCAAAUAAAAAGAAAUAGAAAUUGUAUUAGAGCAAUUCAAUUGCAUAAAACUUUUAACAGUUGCAUAUGCAAAAUAAUUACAUUUAUAUAUCCAUACAUCUCACAUUUAUGCAUCCAUACCUCAAUUACAACUUCAUUAAUGAAAAAUAUCUAUGUGCAACAAUGUUCAUCAUUGUACUGUCUGUGUCACUGGAUUCAUUAGUUAUGGUAUUAGUUAAAUAAAUUGGGGUACAUCCAUGAAAUGAAAUACUUGUCAUUUAAAAGAGUACCUAUAGAAAACUUUCAGAACAUCUUGCUAAGUGGAAAAAAUAGGUUACAAAAUAGGAUUUUCUGUGCAAGUCCAUUUGUUUAAAAAAAAUGUGUUUCUGGUGUGUGUGUGUGUGUGUGUGUGUGUGUGUGUUCAAAUAAAUUAACUGGAAAGAUUCACUCCAAAAUAUCAAUAAUGGUCAUCUCUGGGUGGUAAGAUUACAGGUUCUCUUUCUUUACUUUCUGAAUUCUUUGAUUUUUUCUAUAAUAAAUAUAUUCUGUUUAUAUUUAAAAAGCGUUUUUUAAAAAGAAAAUCUAUUCAGAGCUUUGUUGGCAUUCCAUUAAAUAUUCUUUUCGUGAUUAAACGAAAGUAAUCUUUUAUUCUUCCCAUGGUAUCUCAAUCAGGCAGAAUGGCAAAAUCAAUCUGCUGUGUAGAACAUUAAACUAAAAAUCUGUGGUAGGACAGCAUGGAGAAUACAGCCAAUGAUUCUGUAACAUCUUCCUAUGUUGACAGACAGUAACUGCAUUAGUGGGGGUGAGGAUUUAACAAUAUGGGU